rnacentral:rRNA from 1 species
GAUGAACGCUGGCGGCGUGCCUAAUACAUGCAAGUCGAGCGAAUGGAUUAAGAGCUUGCUCUUAUGAAGUUAGCGGCGGACGGGUGAGUAACACGUGGGUAACCUGCCCAUAAGACUGGGAUAACUCCGGGAAACCGGGGCUAAUACCGGAUAAAAUUUUGAACCGCAUGGUUCGAAAUUGAAAGGCGGCUUCGGCGGUUCUCUAUGGAUGGAACCGCGUCGCAUUAGCUAGUUGGUGAGGUAACGGCUCACCAAGGCAACGAUGCGUAGCCGACCUGAGAGGGUGAUCGGCCACACUGGGACUGAGACACGGCCCAGACUCCUACGGGAGGCAGCAGUAGGGAAUCUUCCGCAAUGGACGAAAGUCUGACGGAGCAACGCCGCGUGAGUGAUGAAGGCUUUCGGGUCGUAAAACUCUGUUGUUAGGGAAGAACAAGCGCUAGCUGAAUAAGCUGGCACCUUGACGGUACCUAACCAGAAAGCCACGGCUAACUACGUGCCAGCAGCCGCGGUAA